rnacentral:rRNA from 1 species
CCUUUCUAGCUUGCUAGGGGGGUGAGAGUGGCGAACGGGUGAGUAACGCGUGAUUAACCUGCCGUGUAGUUUGGAAUAGCUCCUGGAAACGGGUGGUAAUGCCGAAUGUUCCACAUGCUCGCAUGGGUGUGUGGGAAAACGUUUUAGUGCUAUGCGAUGGGAUCGCGUCCUAUCAGCUUGUUGGUGGGGUAGUGGCCUACCAAGGCUUCGACGGGUAGCCGGCCUGAGAGGGCGACCGGCCACAUUGGGACUGAGAUACGGCCCAGACUCCUACGGGAGGCAGCAGUGGGGAAUAUUGCACAAUGGGGGGAACCCUGAUGCAGCGACGCCGCGUGCGGGAUGACGGCCUUCGGGUUGUAAACCGCUUUUAUUGGGGAGCAAGCGUGAGUGAGUGUACCUUUUGAAUAAGCACCGGCUAACUACGUGCCAGCAGCCGCGGUAAUACGUAGGGUGCAAGCGUUGUCCGGAAUUAUUGGGCGUAAAGAGCUCGUAGGCGGUUUGUCGCGUCUGGUGUGAAAGUCCAUCGCUUAACGGUGGAUUGGCGCUGGGUACGGGCAGGCUAGAGUGUAGUAGGGGAGACUGGAAUUCUCGGUGUAACGGUGGAAUGUGUAGAUAUCGGGAAGAACACCAAUGGCGAAGGCAGGUCUCUGGGCUAUUACUGACGCUGAGGAGCGAAAGCGUGGG